GGAGGAGAGUGAUAUCCCCCUUCCUGACAGAGCUCCUGAAGCAUGCAGGAUGAAAGGUACUGCAGAGUCAUUGUGGAGGUGCUUCUUAAUGGGUGUCACAGGCUGACAAACCGAAACUACACAUGGAGGUUGUGUGAACCUUUGCAAAUGGUUAGCUGAAGGAUGGCUCGGGAAACAGUCAUCUAUACUAAAGGCAUCACGUGCUGGAGGCCCAAAAGGGGGCUGACAUGAUGCACACAUGCCUGGCAAUGCCAACUGACCAAAUUAAGCUUCCUGGCUGUUUUCAGAUUUUUCUUUGCAUCUAUUAACUAGAUGUACAAUCAGGUAAGUUCUUUUUUAGACACACAAAAACAUUGUAAGUGUUUUAGGAAUGGCUAGAAUUUGAGAUGCAUUUAUGAUCAACACAUAUAGAGGAUUUUUUGUUUGCUUUCCAAUCGACUUAUAGUCACAUGAAUUUAUCAGUAAAUAUUAUAUUUCCCCCCUAGAGUUUACCCUCUGGUUAGGGUAAACUCUAAUGAGCCAUUUUGGGGAUGCCCCUUCAGCAAAGAAAGACCACCAUCCAGGAUCCUACAAUGAGCAGAAAUGCUGUUGCCAAGAAGAUACACAGAAAAAUGAUAUUGAACUAAAAAACGAUUUUUCUCCCAAUUUUCAUCUUUCUUAUUGCCAACAAUGAUUAGUAUUGGUUGAUAAUUUGUGGUUUUGUUUUAAUGUUGAAUUCCCUGCUUUCGUCUUCUAUUGUAUUAUUGGCUUAUUUCUUGCUCCUUUGUAAAAAUCUAUAAAGUUGAAUAUUACAGCCAGGUGUGGUGGUGCACACCUGUAAUCCCAGCACUCGAGGAGGCAGGGGUGGGUGGGUAUCUGUGAGUUCAAGGCCAGCCUCGUCUACAAAGCGAGUCCAGGAUAAUCAAGGCUAUACAGAGAAACCCUGCCUUGAAAAAACAAACUAAAAAAAAGGAAUAAAUAAAUAAAUAAAUAAGAAAAUAAAUAAAUAGAUUGAAUAUUGCGGUGGGCAUACCACUAAGUGGUAGAUGUACCACUUAGUCCCUCUUCCAAGAAGGAUUUAUUUUUUUCAGCCUCAGGGAAUGCCUUCAACCCUCAGUAUGUCUGGAAACACCUUCCAAAGUGUUUACAUUCUUACCUGAUGUGAAAAGCACUUAUAGAAGUCCUGCCAUCAUGGUCCAUCAGGAGAUACUUCUAACAAGCCACGUUACCACUAAUGCUCCCUGCUCAUCAAUGAAAGCACACCCCACAACCCCCACUACCAAAUGAAUGAAAGGUCUUUUUUAAUAAAGAAAACUUCUCACUUACUUGGUUUUUAAGCCUUCCCUUCACAAAACUAAGAAAACUGAAAAUUUUAACCCAUCCUGAACUAUUUCAGGGGAGGGGGCUGAGAUUCUUUUGGGGGUCAGCACUAGGUCUGAUAUAAACUAAUCCUACUCAUAUUUUCUUGUAAUGGAUUACUCAAAAUUUAUUUGAAAGAACUGCCUAUAGAACCCAGUUCUUAUGAAUCCACUUUGAAACCCAUUCUUCCAUGUAAUUAGAAUAUGCACAAGAAAGGAAAAAAAUAAGUUUUAUAGUUAAGUCAUUUAAAAACAAAAUUAAUUCCCUUUGCUCAAGGCCUAAAGGGAAAAAUCUACAAAAUGGGCAAAGAAGAUGGGUUGUCUCAUUAGAUUUUGUUCAGGGCCCAUUAUUACCAAUUUACUAGCUCAGCCCUUGAAUUGAAUUAAAGUAUCAUUAUGGUUUCUGUUAUUUAUAAUAUUAUAAAGAUUUUAUAAUGUGUCAUUGGGCCAAAAUUUUUCAUGCUCAUUUUAGCUUAAAAGCAGUCAUAAUACUUAAUCAAGCAAAACUUUGUUUUCAUCAUGCUAUUUAAUAGUAUGUAGUUAGCUCAUAUGUGACUCUUGUAUGAUGGAUAAAUGUUAUUAUGUCUGACUUAGUGAGGAGCCAGAAAGGCUGAGCGCUUAAGACCAAGUACAUUCAGCAAAUCCCUGGGACUUGUGUGAAAGUUACUUGUCUGAUCUCUUCAGUUUUUAAGAGGUGUAUGAACCUUAGGACAUACACAGGCUUGUUUUUACCCAGAUGAAAUCACUCUAGCAAGAAUUUCAACAUACUAACAAUUCCUUUUCUUUCCCCAGACAGGGAUAAUUAAACUACAUUCUCAUCUCUCGACCUGUUUCUAUGUGCUCGGUCAGCCUGCUUCUUGGACCAUUUGUUUCAUUGAGAGUUGGAUCAAAAUCUUUUUGAUCUUGAUAAAAAUCCUUUUAGCAUAAGCAAAAAUAGAGCUAUUUUUUAGUAGUAGUAAUGGCAUUUUGUUUAGCUUUAUUUUUAAGCAAAUAUUUGUUUUCAUUUCAUUGAUUUUUUUUCUCACCUCCUAAAUCAUUCAUGCUUCUCCCAACUUAAUGAACAAAGCACACACUCUCAGAACCCCCUUUCUGAACCUAUAAAGAAGCUCUGUAUGUUUUAAAAAUACAUUUGAUAUUCUUAAAGUAGGUGUUCCAAAGAGGGGAGGGCUAAAGCGUAAGCUUUGUUCAAGUUAGGAAAGGCGGGGAUAAUCAAGGAGAUGGGUAAAGGUUAAUAUAAAAUAUAAGCAAAGGAAAAAUCAUUUGCUCUUUCAUCAUGACAGUUUUUAGGGAAAAACCAAAGCAUCAGUGGGGAUGCUUUUUAUUUCUUGUUUCUUUCAUCUUUCAUUAUUCUCUAUUGAGCUCUCGACCACUCUUACCAAAAUACUUCUGGAUGUAUAAGUGAAAGAAUCUAUGUCCCUGUCCAUUUGUUGGUUUUUACAAUUCUAGAGGGCUGGACAGUGAACUUAGAUUUGAAAAGGAUUUCAUCUCUAUUUUCAUUAGCUUCCGUGAAAAUGCAGCAUUUGCAAAAGGAGGCAACAAAGUCUAUUGUAAUAUUGGUGGUUCCUAUGGAUUGUCCCUGCAUUUUAAAUGGAAUAUCAUUAUCACAUUGUUUAUUCUUUUGUCUCUUGGGUGGUUAGAAGCCACAAACCUUUGGAAUUAUCCUUUUCAUUUGGACCAAUAUUAAUAUGUAUUUUGUUCUUUCAAGGUAUUCAGAGCUGUAUCCUAAUAAUUAAGUUGAGCCAUCUUUUCAAGAAUUUUCAUGGAACUGAAAGACUUAUGAGACCGGUGGAAUACACACAAAAUGAAUACUAAUGAAUUACUGCCUCGUGCAAAAACAUCCCGUUUAUAUUUAAAUGUUGUAAAGAUGGAGCUAAAAUUAGUUGUUAUAUAGAGCUCUAUGCUUUUUAAAAAUAACUUUGAUAUUCUUAUGGCAGGUGUUCAAAAAGAGGGUUCUGAGAGCAUAAGCUUUGUUCAUUAAGUUUGCAGUGUGGAUAAUUAAGGAGAUAAGUAAAAAUCUAUGAAAUAAAAACAAAUAUUUGCUUAAAAAUAAAGCUAAACAAAAUGCUGUUACUACUAGUAAAAAUAGUAUAUUAAAAAUCUAUCAAAGAGUGGAAGCAUCAGCCAGGAGAGUGGCACAUGCCUUUAUUUGCAGCACUUAAGAUCUCUGAGUUCAAAGCCAGCCUGGUCUACAGAAUGACAACCAAGGCUCUUGUGGGAGUUUUGAUUUAUGAUGUGUAAAGAUGUUUUUGUUUUGGUUCCAUGUGUAGGAUGUGGGACUGAUUCAGAUUGUCCACAGAAGCAGAUUAUUUGCCUCAUGUGGACUCGGAGAGGGGCUCUUUGCCAGCUGUAGAUAGUUUAGAUCUGAGGACUCUAGACAGGAAAAAAAAAAUGCCAGAGCCCAGACAGAAAAAUGGACUCCAAGGAGAAGGCUGCUGAUACUUCCCCCAUUUCUCCUGGUUGCUGCUGAUGCAGUUUGAGGAGAAAAAGUCAGACAUAUCCUGAAACAAAUUUUGGACUUGCCCCAAGGAACCCAAGGACCCUAACCAGGAGGAAACUACACCCUAAUCCCCAAUAAAUCUUUUUUCUCUCCUA